rnacentral:lncRNA from 1 species
GGGCCUUAGUUCCUAAAAAUUUUGCUAAUUUUUUUCAAGAUUCCUCAUCACAUCGAAUCUUGUGGUACAUGCAUACAACAUUAAAUAUAGAUAAAAAAAUAACUAAUUGCACAGUUUGCCUGUAAUUUAUGAGACAAAUCUUUUGAGCCUAGUUAGUCUAUGAUUAGACAAUAAUUGUCAAAUACAAACUAAAGUGCUACAAUAGCCAUUUUACAAGUGCCUUACUCUAGAUCAAGUUGUUGUUUUGUUUUUUCUUUUUUCAAUCAUAUUAGGAAGUUGUUGUUUAAAGAAGAAGACUCUAAGUCUAGUAUAACUCCUCGUAUUUUCAUUACUAAGGUAAAAAUACCAGCUUAAGGAUUAUUACCCGAUAAAGAGAUGCUCUCUCGAAUAAUGACCCUAGUUAAAGUGAUGCAACAAAAUAACAGUUAGGACCUUACAAAGUUUGUCACAUUUAAUUAAUAAACAUUACCUAAAACAGUAUACUAACAAGAACUCCAUCAUGUUAUACUAGAAAUUAUGUAAACAAUAUCAUCUCUUUCUCCUUUGGCUCCUUUUAGAUCAAGUGUUUGGCCUAGCUCAUCAUCAUGGGUUAUCCCUUUGCAUCUAAAGGGGCAGGACUAAUAGCAAGAGU